GCGAAACUGGAUGGGCUGUGUCUUCCUCAAUCAUAUUUCCGUGCCCUCGGCUCUGGUCUCGCACACUCGCACUCAUGGGGAGGUCCCCGCAAUGGCAUUCUCUGUGUCUGCGUCGAGCUUGAAGACGAAGAAGAAAUAAUUCUAUGGAACCCAGCGUUUAGGGUUUACAAGGUGCUCUACGCCAAUUCCUCGUUCCUUGUCUUCCCAAUGGAGACACCUUUUUCAUCAAGGGCCUUAAUUGGCUUCGAUCACAAAAGUAACGACUAUUAUGAUGAUGCCGACCUACAACUUGAGUUGUACGCCAAGAAAUUGGACAGGAGGGAAACAAUUUCGAUUUGCAGGACAUUUUUGUUGAUACUGGAUCCAGUGGUUGGUCUUAGUUUACUGGAAAGAGGGGAAGAAUGAUAUGAUUCUCUCCUCCUUAUUCCAUAUGAUGCCGCUGCCGCAUCCAAAAUCAGGCCGGGUCUUGUAUCGUUCAAUGAAAUGAUUGGUCUGGUCGAUGGCCCUCCUAAUGAACACGAGAACACCAUAUGCUUCAGAUCAUGGGUGAUGGUGGAGUAUGGGGUUAAAGAAUCUUGGACCAAGAUUCUCACAGUCGGGCCUGUCUUUGGGUUCUGCCGUAUCUCUGGAUUCUGGAAGAACGGUUAGUUUCUUUUGACGAGAAUGGAUAGUCCAGAGGCGAGUGGUGAAGCUCGUCUUAUAUGGCACCGGGCAGCGCAAGGUCUUAACUCUCCACCCUAGAGGUUACAUGAUCGUUACCAUUUACCUGGGAAGCCUGGUUUCAGAAUGCUGAAAUGAACUAAAUAGAGUGCUCAAGGAUUACAAUCUGAUGUUUAGUUACUAUACUUAACGUGAUAUCCUCAGUCACACAACAAAGAAGAGAAGCUGGUUUAGUUUGGGUGGUUAUUAAUUUGGUGGGGAUGGAUUUUGUGAUAGUCCAAUAAACUUCCUGCACUUGCAGCACCAAGAGGACUAUGCAUGAAGCAACAGAACAGCAGUGAUACUUUGAGUGUAUCUGCAGCAACAGCAAUGGCAGCCGAGGCUAAAGUAGCACCUGUCAAUGCUGCAGCUAAGAUUCUCAAGCUUAUGUGAGUUUACAUGCAAUGUCUGGUUUAAACUCAACGCUUUGGUGCCAUUGAAAUUCAAUUUUCUGAUUGAGUACAUCUUCAGGUGGAUGAUGGCUGGAAUAGUUCUGUUGCGUUAACUGUAUUUUCUAUAAAUGAUGAUUUAUUCUAGCAUCCAUGCUUUUAAUAUAGAGAGAACAUAAUGCGUGUCGUUUUGGAGCAGUUAAGAGAUUGAGUGGAGUUACUUUUUCUCAACACUUCCUGACAAAGAAUCCAGAUGAAAAUGCCUAAGCUUCUUACCCAUCUUUCUGUAAACAGCCUUGCAUUGCUUGGGCAGGCUUCUCACAAAGACAAAAUUACUGCUACUAUUGGCCCUGAGAUUAUUGAUUAUAAUACAAUAGACUUUUGGAAUAUUUCUAUGAUUUCUAUAAUUGAUGAGUGCUGUUCUUGUGGUAUGUGUGAAAUUUGUGCUAAAACUGAGGGACCUGGAUGUGAGGUCUUUGAUAUUAUCUUCAGGAGCUUCUUCAUCAUUUUUAUAUUUCUCAGUGUGCAAGAAGGGCUUGUAAACUUUGUUGAUGAUACUGAUGAAAAACCUUGAUCAAAAUGACCAAGCUUUUUACCC